rnacentral:pre_miRNA from 1 species
UGAUGGUGUCACACACAAUGCUGGGAGACGUUACCACGUGCUACCUCAUUCCGUGAUAUCAUCACCCAGCACCGCACGGGUCCGUUG